ACCCAUGGCAUAUGGAGGUUCCCAGGCUAGGGGUCAAAUUGGAGCUACAGGUGCGGGCCUACACCAUAGCUCAGGGCAAUGCUGGAUCCUUAGCCCACCAAGCAAGGCCAGGGAUCAAACCUGCGUCCUCAUGGAUGCUAGUCAGAGACGUUUCUGCCGAGCCACUACAGGAACUCCCUGUUGUUGUUCUUUUGAAAUUAUUUUCUCUCUUUCUCUCCAUUCCCACUCCCAUACACCUUAGUAUUUAAUACAUAUCCUUAGUAUUUAAUAUAUGUCCUUCUGAUCCACCUUUUAUAUAUUUAAUUAGAUUUUUAUGAAUCUUUGAAAAAUAUAUAGGAUUGCUUUGAGUGUGUCCUUAAAAUGUUCAUUGUAUAUCAUUCUGAUUAUUAAUUUGUUUACUGUGUGUUUUUGAGAUCUAUUUAUGCUGCUACAUGUAAGUCUAAUUCAUCCCUCCUGAGAGCUUCAAAAUAUUACAUUUUAGUCAAUAUUCAUUUGACAUUUUACUUACCAUUUUACCAUGUACAAAAAGUCAAAGGCUAGGAGUUCCUGUUGUGGCCCAGUGGGCUAAAGAUCCAGUGUUGCUGCAGCUGUGGCAUAGGUCACAGCUGCAGCUCGGAUUUGAUCCCUGGCCCUGGGGACUGCCACAUGUCACAGGUGCAGCCAAAAAGAAAAGUUAAAAGCUUUAUGAAUUUAACUUGUCAUAUUUAUUCUUCUAAUUAUUUUUGCUGCAUAAUAAAGCACCCCUUAGUGGCUUAAGAUAACUGCCGUCAUGUUAUUUUCCGCACACAUCUGCAGUUGGGACGGGGGUUGGCAGAGAGCUCAUUUCUGCUCCACGUAUAUCAGGUGGAGCUGGCAAUUUCUCAACUGGUUGGGGCUGGAAUCAGCUGAACGCUCCGUCACAUGUGAGAGUUAACAUUGGCUAUCGGUUGGGGGUUCAGAUGGGGCUGUUUGCCAAAGUACCUACACACAGCAUGUCCAUUUGGCUGCUUGGCUUCCUCACAGCGUGGUGGCUUGUCUCCAAGAGCAGUGAGGCAGAAGUGCGUGAGUUGCUCGUGACUUUGUCUGAGAGUCACAGUCACUUCCACUGUGUGCUGUUGGUCGAGGAGGACACAGAGGUCUUCCCAGGUUCACAGGGAGGAGACAUAGACCCCACCACCCAAUAGAAAAAUGCCAAUGUUACAUGGCCCCCCAAAAAUGCAUGUGGGAUGGGAUAAAUCAUGGUAUCUGUCUUUGGGAAAGACAGUGUGUCCCAUUCGUGAAAAUUAAAAAUCUGGCUUGGGGAGUUCAGUGGUUGACGAAUCUGACUAGGAGCCAUGAGGUUGCAGGUUCAAUCCCUGCCCUUACUCUGUGGGUUAAGGAUCCGGUGUUGCCGUGAGCUAGGGUGUAGAUCACAGACAUGGCUUGGAUCUGGCAUUGCUGUGGCUCUGGUGUAAGCCGGCGGCUGCAGCUCUGAUUGGACCCCUAGCCUGGGAACCUCCAUAUGCCACGGAGUGGCCCUAAAAAAGACAAAAAGACCAAAAAAAAAAACAAAACAAAACCUGAUUUGGAUAUAACACCAUGAUUUGAUUUUGAGACUAAACUUUUCUUUCUUUUUUCUUUUUUUUUUUUUUUUGUCUUUUUGCUAUUUCCUUGGGCUGCUCCCGCGGCAUAUGGAGGUUCCCAGGCUAGGGGUCGAAUCGGAGCUGUAGCCACCGGCCUACACCAGAGCCACAGCAACGUGGGAUCCGAGCCACGUCUGCAACCUACACCACAGCUCACGGCAACGCCGGAUCGUUAACCCACUGAGCAAGGGCAGGGACCGGACCCGCAACCUCAUGGUUCCUAGUCGGAUUCGUUAACAACUGCGCCACGACGGAACUCCUAGACUUUUCUUUCUAAUGUUAUUAGUAUCGUUCCCUUCGGUCCUUGUUUUUUAUGCGUUCAGUGUAACAGAAGCGAUCAACCAGUUCAUAGAACAUGAUUACAAAACCCAUGCACACCUUGGGUGUCGUGAGAGAGAGCGAUUGUUUUUCCCUUUGGAACAUAUAUCUUAUGAGAAAGAAAUAGCAACUCGUUCUCAACUUCUUUCUCUUUUUAUUUUGUGCUGCCGACCAGGCAGUCUUUUAUGUACUGGAUAUUCGAUUAGAACCCUCAAGAUACAACGUGACUCUUCUGAAAGCUUAUUGUCUCCAUCACUAGAGAGCAGAUCCAUAAUUUUUGCAGUUCUCCUGCUUUUUUUCUCUGACCUGUUCUCUCCUGAGACUUGAUUAAAUAUGUGGCGCCUGAGGAAAAUGCUGCCGAUGUAGCUGUGCCUUUCUGAAGGGGCUAGGAUGCCAGGAGAAUGGGGUGAGUGCUCUAGCAACCACUGGUCAUGAAAAGGUUGUGGUUGUGUUCAUCCAGCCUCGAGGCCUGAUUUCGGAAUUCCGUUUUGGCCACGUGCCUCAGAAUCUAGAGGGAGCGUAGCCAGACAGAUGAUAAUGCAGAGCAAAGCUCUGUUUUCGUCUUCAUUACGUCAAGUUUUUACCAAAGCAGAAACAUCACAGCUGAAAAACGCUGCUGUAAAGUGGGCCAAGUCCAUCCCUCUUUCUUCUUGUAUCGUGAGAUUCAAGAAGAUGAGAUCAGUCUUGGGCUCUCGUCGUCCUUCGUUCGUUUAUUUAGUGGAAACUCUCAAGUUUCAAAAGUAAUGAGAACAGCAUGUACGCGUCCUGUAAAUUCAGCAAUUACCAGCUCAAGGCCGAUCCUGCUGUAUGCAUUCUCCACUUCCCUUCCCCCAAAGUAUUUUAAAUGCAUCAUUUGAAAGCAAAGCCUUGAUACAAUUUCAUCUCUAAGUAUUUCAUAUAUAUGUAUAAAAGAUACUCUUUAUAACCACAAUAUUACCACACAUUUAAAAAUUAGCCAUUCUAGAGGCUGCUGAAACAUGCAAAAUGUAUGUCUGUAAUUGGAGAGAAUGUGGCAAACCUUGAAAAAAAAAAAAAAAGUUUUAAUCUCCAGAGUCCUGGAAGAGGUUCCAGUUCAGCAAGGUCUGUCUUUGAUGCUGAGAGCUACACCCUGCCUUUCUAGCCUUCUCAUAAAUCUCCUCCUUUUGUGAUAAGACUGGUUUCAGUUAGACUUUGUGGUUUACACUUGGAACUGUCAUGACAGCACUACUGCUGUCUGGAUAGCCUAGUGUUAAUCUCUACUUCUCUCCGUACUCACACAAGUUCUCACGCUGCUCAAUUUAACACUAAUGCCAUCAGCUCCCACUUACUGAAGGCCUAUCAUGUACCAGACACUCUACCAAGCACCUGCCGUUUAAACCUCACAACAAGCCCCUGAAGACAGAGGUUUCCCUGUCUGGUAGAGGGAAAACGGAAGAUUUACAUGGCGUAGGUCAUUUGCUCAGGCUACACGGUUAAUAAGGAUAGAACUGAAAUCCUGCCCAGAUCUUCCCAGUCUUUAGCCGGUUUUCCCACUCUGCCAUGCUGGCCCUGACAGACAUGAUUUUUAUUUCCUAAAAAGCCAAUCCAGUUCUGUAGCAUGAAACUGAGUUGGUCAUCAGACCAUUUGCUCCUGUUCCUGGGCACACGACUAGACUCCUUCAUUGCAGUUGGGCUUGGUCACAUGAUUGGGAUCGAGCUAUGAAAUGCGAACAGAAGAGAUAUAUCCUAUUUUUUGACCAGGCAGGUGCAAUAAAAUUUCCCAUUUGCUGCCCUCUGUGUUCUGCUUCUGCUUAUCCAGUUUAUGAUGCCUAAAGGGACCUUGGGUACCACACGUUGACGAUGGCAAAAACUGACAGCCUGAAUUCCUGCGUGAUUAUGCAACAGAGGUCCCUGCCACCAAUCUCAAACCUCCUUGAACUAUUAUAUGAGCUUGUAGGUAGAUAAGCCAUUAUAUAUUUAGGAAUCUGUUCAUUAUAGCAGUUAGCCUUCCUUAAUUUUUAUGUACUGUUUCGGUUAUCCUUUGCUAGGUAACAAACUUCCUCAAAAUUUUAGGGGCUUAAAACCACAGUCCUAACUCAGGAUUCUGUUCAUCAGAAACCUGGGCUCGUGCCUAUACUUGUUCAUGGAGCUGCCGCUAGUAGGUGCGUCAGCUGGGGGCCAGUUGCUCUAGCAUUGCCUUCCUCACUUGCCUGGAGAUAAGAGCAGACUACUCUCUGGACCGUGUGUCCCCAGCAGGUUUGCUGGAAUUAUUCACGUGCUGGUGGAAGCGCCCUCAGCAGCAAGAGAGGGCAAGCCCUGCUCUGCAAGUACUCUUCAGGCUUCUGCUAGUGUCUGUGUGCUAGUGUACCAUUAUCCGUGCACGUGACAUAGGCAAAGGGAGAUGUGAUUUACUGCAGAGCCUCUACUGCAGCAAUCUGCCAUAUAUACUGUGGUGCUCAUGCGCACAUCAGCCAAAUCGUUCACAUGCGUACAUCUCAGUCGCAUAUUUGAUAGCAGAGUCCAGGUUUAAGCCUGUUCUCACAACCCUUGAAGCAAGUUGUAAUAUCAGGGUUGGUUUUAAUAAAAAUUAUAUUUAAUUCGGUUUAAAAUUACAUUGCAGAUCUCUCUGUAUAUAAAUGAAAUAUUUACCAAUACAUGAUAAAUGUAGCUUAAUAGCGUUGACACGAUAACAAUGAUGUAACUUCUGGCCCAAAUUGACCCGAGGUUUCAUGAGCCCAAUUUCUCAAGAUCCUGUGGAUUUGUAACCAAAUCUAUAUACUUUAAAGCAAUCUUUAAAGGGCUCAACUUAGAUUCACCCUUAAUUAGAGUAACUUGUAAAUAAGUGAUUUUACGUUCAGUAGUUCCUUACUUCCCUUUAAUUUUCCUUCUUAGGCCACCCUGGUAAGAGCAGGAUGCUUUCCUCCACCCUCGGGGCAGAGUCCUUGGCUGUGGUUUACCUCCUUAAUGACACCGACUUGAGAAUAGUGUGGUGGCGAAAGAUCUGGGUUCCAGAGCCACAGUGCCUGGGUUCACAUCCUGUCAUUUCUGCCUGUUGUGUGACCUUGGGCAAUUAACUAUUCAGUGCCUCAGUUUCUUCUCCUGUAAAGUGGGGAUAAUUUUGUAGGGCUGUUGUGAGGAUUAAAUGAGAUACAGUAUCUAAAACAGCCUUUUGGGAUUCCCUUGUGGCACAGCGGGGGAACUUUCAUGUGCCGCGGGGGUGGCCAAAAAAAUCCAUUUAAAAAAUUAAAAAUAAAAUUAAAAAAAUCCCUUGAUUCAGAGCUUAGCCCGGGGUAUAAGAAGUCAUACAGAUUUUCUCUUUUUUUUAUUUCAGCUUUCUUAAGGUAUAACCGAGAAUUUUAAUUUUAAUUGCUCUUCAGACUCGCAUAUGAGAAUGAAAUACCAAUACAUCAUAAACUUAGGACUGUAGGAGAUGGCUUAUUUUCUUAGUAGAUCCUAAAAUACUGAGAUAAAGUUUCAUCAUGUAUGUAACAUUUUCAAACACUAUAGCAAAAAGAAAAAAUAUAUUGAAAAUAGAUAAAUACGGUAAAAUGUUAAUGCUUGUUCAUAUAUAUAGGGUAUGAAGGUUCACUGCAUUACGUGAAACUUCCUGGAGGGUUGAUCUUUUUCAUGAUAAAAUUUGGAGGGAGGA
rnacentral:lncRNA from 1 species